CGUCUCCUCGUGUCUCAUUAGAUCCUCACUGCAACCCCAGGAGGAGGUUUUAUCUUUAUUCUGGUUCCGCCAUUAUAAAGGUGGGAGAAUUGGGGCUCAGUCCCCUCAGCUAGUAAGGAGAAGAGCUGGUCCUUGAUCUCAGGUCUGCUGGUCCCCAGAGCUCGAGUCCCAGCUUCAGCUUCUCAACUCUGAGUCUCUGAAAAGGGUUUCCAAGGAGGCGGUGGAACCGUGUGGACUCAAUGACUUCAGACAUGGUCUGGGGCUGGGAGGCCAGACCGAGCUGCUGCAGAUAUGCAGCAGUGGAGCGAUGUUCCUGAUGCGGAGGCAGUGGAUGUCUGGAGAGAGAACCGAACUGGGGGGCCAGAGAAAGAGCUGGACGAUCUUAAGCAAGCAAUUUAACCUCUCUGAGCCUCAGUUUCCCCAGCCUCUGAACGGGGUGAGAAUACGGAGGAUUUCAAGGGGCCCUUAUAGAUCUGCCUCUUUAUUGCCUUUUGAAAACUCGCCACUUUCCCCAAGCUGAUUGAAUUCCUGAGGCGUUUUGCAGAGGAGCUGCGGGAAGGGUGUGGAAGGGGGCGGGUCCGGG
rnacentral:lncRNA from 10 species